GUCUGGAUGGCUCAGUUGGUUAAGCGUCUGACUUCAGCUCAGGUCAUGAUCUCACACUUUGUGGGUUCGAGCCCCACAUGGGGCU
rnacentral:tRNA from 1 species